GACGAACGCUGGCGGCGUGCUUAACACAUGCAAGUCGAACGGACAGGCCCUGCUUUUGUGGGGUGCUCGAGUGGCGAACGGGUGAGUAACACGUGAGUAACCUGCCCUUGACUUUGGGAUAACUUCAGGAAACUGGGGCUAAUACCCGAUAGGAGCUCCUGCUGCAUGGUGGUGGUUGGAAAGUUUCGGCUGUUGGGGAUGUACUCGCGGCUUAUCAGCUUGUUGGUGGGGUAGUGGCUUACCAAGGCUUUGACGGGUAGCCGGCCUGAGAGGGUGACCGGCCACAUUGGGACUGAGAUACGGCCCAGAAGCCUACGGGAGGCAGAAGGGGAGAAUAUUGCACAAUGGGCGGAAGCGUGAUGCAGCAACGCCGCGUGCGGGAUGACGGCCUUCGGGUUGUAAACCGCUUUCGACUGUGACGAAGAGUGAGUGACGGUAAUGGGUAAAGAAGCACCGGCUAACUACGUG
rnacentral:rRNA from 1 species